GGUCACUCGUGAAAUAAAAAAAAAAUGUUUACUAAUCUCUGCUUUCUCAUGCGCGUGCAGUGAUACGAGAACAGCAGUGCACGUGUUCUGCGAUGUGUGUGUGUUUGUGUGUGUGUGUGUGUGUGUGUGGCGGGGUGAGGAGCCGCGUAAGUCAGUGUGGUCUUGGACUCGGUGAGAGACGGACCGUCGCGAGCGUUGGUGUGCGCGCGUGUGCGUGUACUUUAAACGUGUUAUUGUGUGGGUAGUGCGUGCCUGUGAAGUGUUUUGUAUUGUGCAGGACACGAAUGGUAGUAACAUCAGCCUCAACCUCACCCAUAACAAGGCGUUGUGAUCUCCACCUGAUGGUGAACAAGAAGUGAGGACAGGUGUGCAAGUGGGCGUGUGGGCGCCGCUCAGUGCGAGCGGCUCGAGGCAUUGUGCAACUACAGCAGCAGGGGUGCGUGAGGCGUAGCAGGCCAGUGGUGAGUGGCGUCGCCCCGCUGAGCGGGGCAUGUAAACUAGCGGGAUGAUCCGCUGGCGCUGUAUGCUGGCGCGGGCGUGAUGCUGGAACUGAUGGAGUCUUCGGGCGGCUGUGGCGGCCUGGGGUCGGGCGGCAAAGGCGGACGUUUGCCAGCGCGCAUUAGCGGCUCGUCGACGCCACCGUCUCGCAGCAGCCCGAGCCAUAGUCGGGAAGGCAGUCCCCUGCUGCUGAAAAGGGGUUUCCACCCUCCGCUGGCCGGCCAGCUGUCUGCUCCCCCGUCCAGCAGUACCACGAGCGGAUCCAUGCUACCCUCAAGCGAUCCAACUCUCUGAAGCGGCUCCUCAAACUACCAAUCUUCGGCGGCCAGACAGGUAUGUGAUGGUGACGACACGUGGCUGCCUAGUGAGUACUGAGAGGGAGGGGUAAGUAGAGAGAGAGAGAGAGAGUGGAGGGACAAGGAGGGAGAAGGAGAGGGGGAGAGAAGGAUGGAGAGGAAGAUGGGAGAGGGAGAGGGAGUGGGCGGGACAGAGGGAGAAAGAACAUUGUUGUUGUCUCGUCUCACAAUGCAAACCUUGUUUAUGAUUACAAACAUGUCUCGUGUUGUCCUGGUGUCGGUGUUGAUGAUGGUGGUAAUGGUGAUAAUCUUGAUGUUGAUGAUUAAGAUGAGGAUAAUGGUAGUGGUGUGGUGAUGUUGGGGUGGUAAUGGUGAUAGUGGCUGUGAUGAUGAUGGUGGUGGUGGUGGUAGUGGUGGGGAUGAUGGGGGUGACCACAGAGUGGCAGAGGUGACUGUAAUGGCAUAAAUUAUGGUGAUAAUGAUGAUUAUAAUAUUUUGAUGCUGAUGAUGGCAUAUUUAAUUUAAUUUAUCUGUUUUCAUCCUCUUUUCCCAAAAUUCAGUAAUUCCCCUCCCAUCCACUACCUCUCAUCGCCUCCUCCCGCUGUAUUCCCUACCCUUUCACUGUGUCCUAAAAUCAGCCCCAACAACCCCCACCUCCCCGUAUUGGGCCAUUACACCUCUGCCUCGCGGGGCUGUUUAUCCUCCAUCUCCCCCUCCCCACCUUCAUCAAUCAGGCCGCCACUGAGAGAGGGAGGAGGGUAAUAAGAUAGGUGGAAAGAUAUGUACGGAGAGAGAGAGAGAGAGAGAGAGAGAGAGAGAGAGAGAGAGAGAGAGAGAGAGAGAGAGAGAGAGAGAGAGAGAGAGAGAGAGAGAGAGAGAGAACGAACAUCCUCUACUAUAGGUAGAUAAUGAACAACAGGUAAGGGAAGUAAGAAAGACCACGUUUUCUAUUCACCUGCCAAGAAUGAUGGGAACCUGCACACACACACACACACACACACACACACACACACACACACACACACACACACACACACACACACACACACACACACACACACACACACACACACACACACACACACACACACACACACACACACACA